rnacentral:misc_RNA from 1 species
GAUGAAGAACGUAGCGAAAUGCGAUAAGUAGUGUGAAUUGCAGAAUUCAGUGAAUCAUCGAAUCUUUGAACGCACAUUGCGCCCGCUAGUAUUCUGGCGGGCAUGCCUGUCUGAGCGUCAUUUCAACCCUCGCCCCCGGCUUCUGCUGGGAGCGGUGUUGGGGAUCGGCCGCCCGUCACUGGGAGGCCGGCCCCGAAAUAGAGUGGCGACCACGCCGUGUGCUCCUCUGCGUAGUAGUAAAUCACCUCGCAGGCGGACAGCGGUGCGGCCUGCCGUAAAACCCCCAACUCUUUCUGGUUGACCUCAGAUCAGGUAGGAAUACCCGCUGAACUUAAGCAUAUCAAUAAGCGGAGG